rnacentral:lncRNA from 1 species
GUCUGGAUUAGUGUUCUUGUGAAAUAUUUGUGAUCACAUCUCUGUUAAUGACACUAGAAUGGGAACAGAAUUGUCUCCAAACAGUCUCCUUUUUUUGAAGACUUAAAUCCAUCCUGAAUGUGUGCAUCAACCAGCAAGAUACCUGUCUCCCUCCUAACUUCCCACUGCAGGGCUUCAAAUACGUCAUCAGAGCAAGUGGAGCAAAAUGCACGGUGUAGACUGUUGAUCGGAGGUCAGCAUGUACAAACUGCAAGGGAAAGGCAAGUACAUUUAAUGAGCUCAGUUCACUGCUGGGUCACACCAGAGCAGAAGGACAAGACCUCCAUCGCUGGAAAGACCACCCAGAGAGGAGGAAGCUGCGCUUGCCCAGGAGGGAGCUGUGACAGAACCCAAGGGCUGCUGCUCUGUGAGCAAGAGGCAGCAGCUGGUGCCAGCAAGGGAAACUGGGGUGAGCCUCUCCUUUCUCUCCUCUUCCCUCUGUCUAUCCACACCUGCAGGCAGGGUAUGGGGCAAGAAGCCCCCUUUUAGCCCCCCACAGCUGAAGUGUGUCAGGGCAGAGAACUGGGGAGGUCAGUGUGGAGCUGUGCUUGGCAGCACCAUGGGGACCACAGGAAUGUGACUGUAAGGUCCUGGCUGUGUGUCCUCAGACAGGAGAACAUGCUGCUUCCCAGAAGAGCUUUUGUCCAUGGUAAGCCCAGUGCCCUCUUUCAGAAAAGGCUCUCAGACACACGCCCCCAAAAAGGAAAAAGGAAGUUUUGAAAGGUGGGAUCUGAGGAGAGGAAGUGACUCAUGGGCUCAAAGAGAGAUGGCCAGGCAGUGAGAGCCGGCCGAGGCAGCAGAAGCGAUCCCCAACUGUGCCGAGUCGUGGGAAUGGAGGUGAGGAAGGAG